ACUUUUUAGUUUUUUUUUUAUGUAAUAGGAAGCAAACGAGCAGACGAGCCGCCUGAUGGGAAGCAGUCAUCGCCGCCCAUGGACAUAAGCAACAUCAGAGGAGCCACUUAUGCGUUGCCAAUCUUUGAGAACUCUAAAUACUUGCUUCUUGAAGAACCCCAUGUCAUAGCGCAAGGGAAACACCUCAGGCGGUAGCUCAUUCCACAACUUGCACGUUCUGGGCAAAAACGAGCGAGAUGCCCGCUUGUUUUUGGUUUGCCACGUGUCAAGAAAGUGAGGAUGAGCUUUGUUUCUUUGGCGGGAGGUGCGGUGGUAAAAACGUGACGGUGGCACCAGAUCAAAAAGUUCUUCAAGAGCCAACGUCUCUCCGAAGACUAAGAGGUUCUAAGCCGUCAGUAAGUUCGGGAUUGCCGACAAUACGAAC